GUGCCAGCCGCCGCGGUAAUACCGGCAGCCCAAGUGAUGGCCGCUGUUAUUGGGCCUAAAGCGUCCGUAGCUGGCCGCACAAGUCCGUCGGGAAAUCCGCCCGCUCAACGGGCGGCCGUCCGGCGGAAACUGCUCGGCUUGGGACCGGAGGACCCGAGGGGUACGUCCGGGGUAGGAGUGAAAUCCCGUAAUCCCGGACGGACCGCCGGUGGCGAAAGCGCCUCGGGAGGACGGAUCCGACGGUGAGGGACGAAAGCUAGGGUCUCGAACCGGAUUAGAUACCCCUGUAGUCC
rnacentral:rRNA from 1 species